UACGUAGGGUGCAAGCGUUAAUCGGAAUUACUGGGCGUAAAGCGUGCGCAGGCGGUUGUGCAAGACAGAUGUGAAAGCCCCGGGCUUAACCUGGGAAUGGCAUUUGGGACUGCAAGGCUUGAGUGCGGCAGAGGAGACUGGAAUUCCUGGUGUAGCAGUGAAAUGCGUAGAUAUCAGGAGGAAUACCGAUGGCGAAGGCAGGUCUCUGGGCUGACACUGACGCUCAUGCACGAAAGCGUGGGGAGCAAACAGG
rnacentral:rRNA from 1 species